GACGAACGCUGGCGGCGUGCUUAACACAUGCAAGUCGAACGGAAAGGCCCUGCUUGCAGGGUACUCGAGUGGCGAACGGGUGAGUAACACGUGGGUGAUCUGCCCUGCACUUCGGGAUAAGCCUGGGAAACUGGGUCUAAUACCGGAUAGUAGCCAUUUUUAGUGUGAUGGUUGGAAAGUUUUUUCGGUGUAGGAUGAGCUCGCGGCCUAUCAGCUUGUUGGUGGGGUAAUGGCCUACCAAGGCGGCGACGGGUAGCCGGCCUGAGAGGGUGGACGGCCACAUUGGGACUGAGAUACGGCCCAGACUCCUACGGGAGGCAGCAGUGGGGAAUAUUGCACAAUGGGCGCAAGCCUGACGCAGCGACGCCGCGUGGGGGAUGACGGCCUUCGGGUUGUAAACUCCUUUCGCUAGGGACGAAGCUUUUUGUGACGGUACCUAGAGAAGAAGCACCGGCUAACUACGUG
rnacentral:rRNA from 1 species